rnacentral:rRNA from 1 species
CAGUAGCCACGGUAAUACGAAGGGGGCUAGCGUUGUUCGGAAUUACUGGGCGUAAAGCGCACGUAGGCGGAUAUUUAAGUCAGGGGUGAAAUCCCAGAGCUCAACUCUGGAACUGCCUUUGAUACUGGGUAUCUUGAGUAUGGAAGAGGUAAGUGGAAUUCCGAGUGUAGAGGUGAAAUUCGUAGAUAUUCGGAGGAACACCAGUGGCGAAGGCGGCUUACUGGUCCAUUACUGACGCUGAGGUGCGAAAGCGUGGGGAGCAAACAGGAUUAGAUACCCCGGUAGUCCCUGUCUCUUAUAC